AUUGAACGCUGGCGGCAGGCCUAACACAUGCAAGUCGAGCGGUAGAGAGAAGCUUGCUUCUCUUGAGAGCGGCGGACGGGUGAGUAAUGCCUAGGAAUCUGCCUGGUAGUGGGGGAUAACGUUCGGAAACGGACGCUAAUACCGCAUACGUCCUACGGGAGAAAGCAGGGGACCUUCGGGCCUUGCGCUAUCAGAUGAGCCUAGGUCGGAUUAGCUAGUUGGUGAGGUAAUGGCUCACCAAGGCGACGAUCCGUAACUGGUCUGAGAGGAUGAUCAGUAACACUGGAACUGAGACACGGUCCAGACUCCUACGGGAGGCAGCAGUGGGGGAUAUUGGACAAUGGGCGAAAGCCUGAUCCAGCCAUGCCGCGUGUGUGAAGAAGGUCUUCGGAUUGUAAAGCACUUUAAGUUGGGAGGAAGGGUUGUAGAUUAAUACUCUGCAAUUUUGACGUUACCGACAGAAUAAGCACCGGCUAACUCUGUGCCAGCCGCCGCAGUAA
rnacentral:rRNA from 1 species